rnacentral:tRNA from 1 species
GCCGGAAUAGCUCAGUGGUAGAGCGGCUGUUUUGUAAACAGCGGGUCGCGGGUUCGAAUCCUGUUUCCGGCUCCA